rnacentral:rRNA from 1 species
AACGAACGCUGGCGGCGUGCUUAACACAUGCAAGUCGAACGGAAAGGCCCUGCUUUUGUGGGGUGCUCGAGUGGCGAACGGGUGAGUAACACGUGAGUAACCUGCCCUUGACUUUGGGAUAACUUCAGGAAACUGGGGCUAAUACCGGAUAGGAGCUCCUGCUGCAUGGUGGGGGUUGGAAAGUUUCGGCGGCUGGGGAUGGACUCGCGGCUUAUCAGCUUGUUGGUGGGGUAGUGGCUUACCAAGGCUUUGACGGGUAGCCGGCCUGAGAGGGUGACCGGCCACAUUGGGACUGAGAUACGGCCCAGACUCCUACGGGAGGCAGCAGUGGGGAAUAUUGCACAAUGGGCGGAAGCCUGAUGCAGCAACGCCGCGUGCGGGAUGACGGCCUUCGGGUUGUAAACCGCUUUCGCCUGUGACGAAGCGUGAGUGACGGUAAUGGGUAAAGAAGCACCGGCUAACUACGUG